rnacentral:rRNA from 1 species
AGAACGAACGCUGGCGGCAGGCCUAAUACAUGCAAGUCGAACGCACUCUUCGGAGUGAGUGGCAGACGGGUGAGUAACGCGUGGAAACCUUCCCAAUAGUACGGAAUAACUCCGGGAAACCGGUGCUAACACCGUAUAAGCCCUUCGGGGGAAAGAUUUAUCGCUAUUGGAUGGGUCCGCGUCGGAUUAGCUUGUUGGUAGGGUAAUGGCCUACCAAGGCGACGAUCCGUAGCUGGUCUGAGAGGAUGAUCAGCCACACUGGGACUGAGACACGGCCCAGACUCCUACGGGAGGCAGCAGUAGGGAAUCUUGGACAAUGGGCGAAAGCCUGAUCCAGCCAUGCCGCGUGAGUGAAGAAGGCCUUAGGGUUGUAAAGCUCUUUUGGCGGGACGAUAAUGACGGUACCCGCAGAAUAAGCCCGGCUAACUUCGUGCCAGCAGCCGC